CAGUCGCCGCGGUAAUACGGAGGGUGCAAGCGUUGUCCAGAUUUAUUGGGUUUAAAGGGUGCGUAGGCGGCCUAAUAAGUCAGUGGUGAAAGCCUCCAGCUUAACUGGAGAACUGCCAUUGAUACUGUUAGGCUUGAGUAUACUUGAGGUAGGCGGAAUUGACAGUGUAGCGGUGAAAUGCAUAGAUAUUGUCAAGAACACCAAUUGCGAAGGCAGCUUACUAAAUUAUAACUGACGCUGAGGCACGAAAGUGUGGGUAUCAAACAGGAUUAGAUACCCCAGUAGUCCCUGUCUCUUAUAC
rnacentral:rRNA from 1 species